CAAACGCUGCAUUUGCGGGUGG
rnacentral:siRNA from 1 species